rnacentral:rRNA from 1 species
UCUCAGUUCGGAUCGGAGGUCUGCAACCCGACUCCGUGAAGCUGGAUUCGCUAGUAAUCGCGCAUCAGCCAUGGCGCGGUGAAUACGUUCCCGGGCCUUGUACACACCGCCCGUCAAGCCAUGGAAGCCGGGAGUGCCUGAAGUAUGCAACCGCAAGGAGCGUCCUAAGGUAAAACCGGUGACUGGGGCUAAGUCGUAACAAGGUACC